rnacentral:rRNA from 1 species
AACGAACGCUAUCGGUAUGCUUAACACAUGCAAGUCGGACGGACUAAUUAGGGCUUGCUCCAAUUAGUUAGUGGCGGACGGGUGAGUAACACGUGGGAAUCUGCCCAUCAGUACUGAAUAACUUUUAGAAAUAAAAGCUAAUACCGUAUAUUCUCUACAGGGUACAGAUUUAUCGCUGGUGGAUGAGCCCGCGUCAGAUUAGGUAGGUGGUGAGGUAACGGCUCACCAAGCCGACGAUCUGUAGCUGGUCUGACAGGAUGAUCAGCCACACUGGGACUGAGACACGGACCAGACUCCGACGGGAGGCAGCAGUGGGGAAUAUUGGACAAGGGGCGAAAGCCUGAUACAGCAAUACCGAGUGAGUGAUAAAGGCCCUAGGGUUGUAAAGCUCUUUUAGCAAGGAAGAUAAUGACGGUACUUGCAGAAAAAGCCCCGGCUAACUACGUG